GACAUUUUACAUUUUGUGACCAUAAAUUAACUUUGGAAGAAGUUGAUAGACAAGUAGGUCAUUAUUUGGGUGUUCCUGUGUUUCUCAUAACAUUUUAAAUUCAGUCAGGGCAGAAAAUAUAUAUGUCUUUCCUUUAUACCAUUACCCUAAUCCCUGGCACAUGGUGGGUUUCCUCUUGACUUUAGUGGAACGUGCCUGGACCUUAACAAUCCCAACACCCCACCUUCCCCGCAACCCUGUCUUCUUCCCCAUCUCUCCAGCUGGCUUCCUGCCUUGUUUUCUCCUCACAUAGAUUUAACAGAUGCUCUGAGCCCCGCAGUGCACUUCAGUUCUAUUCUCUGCACUCGCCAUGGCACUUGGCACCAUUAACUGCAGCUCUCUCUGCCUUGACAUCUGCACCCCACUCUCCCCUGUGUGUUUUUUCUUUGGGGGUUUCUUAUCAGGCGCCUCUUCUUUAAAUGCUUGUUUUCCUUUGAGCCCUGUCCAAAGCUCUAGGUUCCAUUUUCCACUUUCUACGUUCUAUCUGGUCCUUCAUUCAAAUUUACAGCUCACAUCUCUGCUUUUGCCUCUAGCCCAGAUCUCUCUCUCUCUCUCUCUCUCUCUCUCUCUCUCUGUCUUUCAAACCUUACACAACUUGAGACAUCUUCACUCACAUAUCCUGCAGGUACACCGAACUCAACAUGGUCAAUACAGGAGACAGUCUCUCACCCCAAAAUGGAAUUUCUCUCUUUUUAAAGGAAACCAGCAUUCAUAAGCCAGAAGCCAAUCUGGAUUUUGUCUGGAAACUCAAGUAUAAGACCUAGCACCACUUGCCAAGGACCUCUGCUUUGCUUUGGUAGGCCAAGGGUCUGGCUCUGUUACCCAGGCUGGAUUGCAGUGGUGCAAUCUCGGCUCCUGUAACCUUCACCUCCUGUAACCUUCACCUCCUGGGCUCAACCCAUCCUCUGGCCUCAGCCUCCUGAGGAACUGGGACUUACAGGUGUGCCACCACACACAGCAAUUUUUUUUUUUUUUGUAUUUUUGGUAGAGAUGGGGUUUCAUCAUGUUGGUCAGGCUGGUCUCUAACUCCUGGGCUCAAGUGAUCUGCCCAUCUCAGCCUCCCAAAGUGCUGGGAUUAUAGGCGUGAGCCACCGCACCAAGCCCUACUUUGUAUUUUGAAUAGAAGCAACAGCAGUGAUGGGAUUCGUACUCCAAACCUCAGCGUCACACAACAUUCCCAUGCAGCAAAUCUGC
rnacentral:lncRNA from 1 species